rnacentral:ncRNA from 1 species
AAAAAAUUGCAAAAAAGGUAUUGACAUUCACAUUCAUUUGUGAUAUAAUAAAUAAGCACUCAGGAGAGAGCAGUAAAAAAGCAGUAAAAUAUCGCGGGAUGGAGCAGUUCGG